rnacentral:rRNA from 1 species
CCUACGGGUGGCAGCAGUGGGGAAUAUUGCACAAUGGGGGAAACCCUGAUGCAGCGAAGCAGCGUGCGUGAAGAAGGAUUUCGGUACGUAAAGCUCUAUCAGCAGGGAAGAAAAUGACGGUACCUGACUAAGAAGCCACGGCUAACUACGUGCCAGCAGCCGCGGUAAUACGUAGGGGGCAAGCGUUAUACGGAUUUACUGGGUGUAAAGGGAGCGUAGACGGCAGCGCAAGUCUGGAGUGAAAUCCCAUGGCUUAACCAUGGAACUGCUUGGGAAACUGUGCAGCUAGAGUGCAGGGGGGGUAAGCGGAAUUCCUAGUGUAGCGGUGAAAUGCUUAGAUAUUAGGAGGAACACCGGUGGCGAAGGCAGCUUACUGCACUGGAACUGACGUUGAGGCUCGAAAGCGUGGGUAGCGAACAGGAUUAGAUACCCUAGUAGUC